AUUGAACGCUGGCGGCAUGCCUUACACAUGCAAGUCGAACGGUAACAGGUCUUCGGAUGCUGACGAGUGGCGAACGGGUGAGUAAUACAUCGGAACGUGCCUAGUAGUGGGGGAUAACUACUCGAAAGAGUGGCUAAUACCGCAUGAGAUCUACGGAUGAAAGCAGGGGAUCGCAAGACCUUGUGCUACUAGAGCGGCCGAUGGCAGAUUAGGUAGUUGGUGGGAUAAAAGCUUACCAAGCCAACGAUCUGUAGCUGGUCUGAGAGGACGACCAGCCACACUGGGACUGAGACACGGCCCAGACUCCUACGGGAGGCAGCAGUGGGGAAUUUUGGACAAUGGGCGCAAGCCUGAACCAGCAAUGCCGCGUGCAGGAAGAAGGCCUUCGGGUUGUAAACUGCUUUUGUACGGAACGAAAAGGUUUGGGUUAAUACCCUGGGCCGAUGACGGUACCGUAAGAAUAAGCACCGGCUAACUACGUGCCAGCCGCCGCCGUAA
rnacentral:rRNA from 1 species